CUUGUAAAUACUUGACUGAAAGUGCGGCGGCCCUGGAAGGGAUGCCGCGAGAACACUUCUGGUUUAGAAGUCACAUUCUGGAUCUAGUUUCAUCAUGCCGAGCUGCUAUUGUGCUGUCACUGAGAGGAACACUCGUGCUCCAGCAAACAUCACACAUCUCAGCGAAUCAACCUAAUAUUUUUGUAGUUUUUUAAAAAAUAUUUGUUUAUUUUUAAACAUUUUCAUCCAUCCAUUUUCUGUACCGCUUAUCCUCACUAGGGUCGCGGGCGUGCUGGAGCCUAUCCCAGCUAUCUUCGGGCGAGAGGCGGGGUACACCCUGAACUGAUCUCCAUUCAAUCGCAGGGCACAUAGAAACAAACAACCAUUCACACUCAUAGUCACACCUAUGGGCAAUUUAGAGUCUACAAUCAACCGACCACGUAUGUUUUUGGGAUGUGGGAGGAAACGGGAGUUCCCGGAGAAAACCUGCGCAGGCACGGAGGGAACAUGCAAACUCCGCACAGGCCAAGCUGCAGAGAAAACAGUCACCGCUGACUCAUCGACAACACAGUGAAUCAACAGACGAUUCCCGCAUCCAAACAUCUGUUUUAUGUGAGACAACUGAUGGGGAAACACUGAUUAAACUGAUCCUGAUCGGGAUUCAUCCCCUGAGCCCACAGAAAGUCACGGAAGAGGUAAGGACUUGCUUAUGUUCAUCGCCUGAGCGAUUACUCGUUUUACCAUUUUUAUCUUGCAGCAUGCACAAGUAAGCAUGACAGUUGGUCCUACGAUACUACACGUUUACAAAUCAUGCAUCCUGUAGAUGAAAAACAUGGAGCAUCUAUAACUAGAGUAAUUGAAUAGAUUGUUUUAUUGUCUUUCUUUUGUUUAUAGACAGUAGUGCACACAUAAAAUUUUCAGACGUCUGUAAUGUAUAAUUUCUUUUACCUUUCCUCAUCGCACUGUAGCAACAUCAUAAAUAUGUUAUGUUAAUUGUACAUAUUUCUACAAAUUACAGUUGGUGCAUGCAGCAGCAGAUGGACAUCCACACCUGUUGGCAAGAAAGCUGGAAAAAAAAGAGCUGCAUCAAGCAGUGGUGGGGCUGUUCAUGCCUGGUCGUCUGCUGACUGGGAACCCACGAAAGUCCCUCUGGCACGCACCCACACAUGCAACCACACAUGUGCACGCGCAAACCCACACACACACACACACACACAUACGCACGCACAUGCACACACACGUACGCACGCACACACACCAUUGACAGGCAUGUAAAAGGGCUUUCAUUACAGUUCUGAGACAAUCUCGAAAGCUGGGACAUUGCAGUGUGCCCUUAGUACUCUCAUUCUGUGUCGGUACACAGUGACAGUACCUUCACACAAACAGGCUCCGAUAACCUCUAAAGCCAAAACAUUUGCUGGAUUGUUGUUUUCUCUCAUUCCUUCCACACAGAAUAUAAUCAGUGGAAAAAUGCCACCUUUUAACGUGUAUGAAAGGGGUUUCUUUUAAAUCUCUGAGACUACCUCCAAAACCCCAUUUAGUCCUCCCAUUCCAUCUCAGUACCUUUAACAGAACAGCAAAUUGGGGAAAAAACGGCUUUGGUGGGCAGCAUGAAAGGGUCUUCUGUUACACCUCUGACACUGGGGAAAUUGUCAAAUCGUCUUUGUGCCCCAAUUCCGUGUCGGUACAUUUCACACAGUCCUGCGACUUUGAAAAUUUUAAAUUUGAAAAUGACAAAACAGCGGCAUGGUGGAAAUAAAAACGAAAAAGGCAGCUUUGACAGUAACCGUGAAAGGGUCUUCUGUUACAGCUCUGAUACCACCUCCAAAACCGUGAAAUUUCCGGGUUGUUUUGGUUCCCUCAUUCCAUGUCGGUACCUGUUACACAGAACGGUGUAGUGGGAAAUAGCUGGCUUUGAGGGACAGUGCGAAAGAAGCGUCAGAUACAGCUCUCAUACCACUUCCUCAAGCCAGAAAACUGUUGGUACCUUACACACACAACAGCGGCGUAGUACAAAAAUGAAUGCCAAAAAGCUGGCUUCAACGGGAUCUGUGAAAGGCUCCACUGUUAGUACCUCAAAAGCCAGAUUUCCAUGUCGCCUUAGGUGGCCCAAUCCAUGUCAGUAACUUUCACAUAGAAUAGCAAGACAGAAUGCUGUCAGGGAAAAACUGGACUUGAUGGCAGUGUGACAUUACCACCGAAGUCGGAAAUUGCCAGGUCAACUUAAUGCCCCCAAUUCAAUGUCGGUACCUUUCACACAGUACAUCAAAAUGGGAAAAAAAAAGCUUAAAGCUUUAAGAGGUGUGCAAAGUAUCUUUCUUCUCAAAUAAACAUAAAA